rnacentral:rRNA from 1 species
CGCUAUUAAGGUUCGUUUGUUCAACGAUUAAAGUCCUACGUGAUCUGAGUUCAGACCGGAGUAAUCCAGGUCAGUUUCUAUCUAUAAAAAAUUUUUCCUAGUACGAAAGGACCGAAAAAAUAGAGCCCAUUACAAACAAUGCUCUUAAACAGUUGAAAACAAAUAAAACACACACGCACAAACAAACCCCCUAGAACAGGAUAAA